GUUGAGUUUGCAGCGUAGGUGCACUGGUUGGUGGUGGUGGCGAUGCUUCACUGCGUGGUGCUGCUGUUCCAGAUGACGGAAGCGCUUCUAAUGGAGUUGCAGGCGCGAUAAGUGGAAUCCGCUCCCAGUCUGUGUCCUGACGAGCCAACGCGUCCACAAGGCGAACGAGGAAAGGCUGCACAGCUACGGGAACGAGUCGCAAGUGACUGCGAACGGUGUCGAUACCGCAGUGGUGGCAGAGUGCGCGAACCAAAAGACGGGCUUCGUCGCAGGUCUGUUGCACCCGAUCUGCCGGCAAAGUGGCACACAUCGUAAACAGUACGUGCAGUUCGUAGAGAAGCAGGUCCAAGUGUGUUUCCAGUAAAGGCGAGGUCGCACCAGUGACAGUUUUUUCAGUAUUCGGGCCACUUGUGAGCACCUGGUUGCAAAGGCGAUGUAAACACUUUUGCAGCAUGACGAUGCGGCUGGGCGUGGUUUCUUUCGAGGACGUUGGCGCUUGUGACACGGGCACUGUCUGGACGGAGCGCACCGCCGCACGAAGCGCCCGAACCAGCGCUCUGCUUAAUACAAGCACGGGCGCGUGCUCCAGCGUCUUCAGCAUGAGCAAGUUGUAGGCGCGGAGUAGCUGGGGUCCCUCAGGAUACGCGGGUACUCGAUGAUCAAGAAGGCGAUCACAGACUUCAGUGAUGAGUAGCUCCAGCGCCGCGAGAGAGAGCAGGCAAGCGAGUUCUCGUUUCAUGAUCAAGUGCAUGAGCGCGUUGAGUAAGUACUUGACGAUGCGCAUUCCAGCAGCGUCGACUGGCGAUGCCUCGGCUGCUGCAGCCAGCACCGACCGUAUGCCUUGCGUCAGACCGAGGCACAGGUCUGCAGCGUGAUGCUGGAGUGAGCGUUCCUGACCUGCUUUCAUCAUCGCUGAAAGCUCCUUGGCCGCCUGAAUUCGUUCCUCUGCCGACGCUGACUCGCCGAGCAGCGUAUGGCUGAGUCGUCGGACCUGCUGCUCGGCGGAAUCCGCAGCAGCAGCAGCGCCAGAAGCAGCAGCACCAGAAGCAGCGACUGCUGUUGCGGUGACGCCUGCGCCAGCGGCGGGCACUGCGGUACGUCUCCAAAAACGACCUUCCGGGAGGCACGGGGUCGGUGCGAUCGGCGGCUCGAAGCUGGUGUGCCUGUUUGCCGUCUCAUCGAGACGGAUGGCGCGCUCUGGGGGCAGCUGCAGGGACGGCACUGCAGACAGCGCUCGAGGCUCGCUCAAUCCAUCGAUUGGUGGCUGCACGGGCCUCCGCCCGGUUGGCACCUGCGAGUCCAAGGCCGCUGUGCCCGUACCUACCACCACAGCGGUGUCUGCUUUGGCCCGAGCGAGCAUCGCAGCAAAUUGGGUAUCACUGUGUUGCAUGUCGGCGUCGAGUUGGAAGGCGUCCCUGCUGACCGGGACUGCUCCCAAUGGGCUGCCAUCACCAGCAUUCAGGGUGUCUGCCUGCUCCGCAUGCAAACGUCGCUCAGAGACAUCGGAUGCAGGUGUCUGCGGGGCCGAUGCACCCCCCGGGGACGCCUGCGGAGACGACACAAUGGAGCGAUUCGAUCGUGCCGGUGACAUGCUCCGAAACUUUUCAGUUCUGGUGAGAACGUCUUUGCGAACUUGUUCGUUGCUGAUAUCCCGAAUUUGAGCUGCGAUUGGAGCGUACCCAAUGAGCCGAACGAUAACUUCAACAAGUCGCUCUGCGAGCUGUCUCACGUGGCCAUUUUUAUCGCGAAAGCAGAGCAGGACCGGCUCCAGCACGAGGCGAGCUUCUGCCUCAGAGGGUGUUCUCUGCUCAGCGCCGCGAGACCAGCGUUCACAUAGCCACUGCAGUGUCUCGAGACGAGCGGCGGGCAGCUCGAGGCUCAACGCUGCUGCGAUGUAGCGCGCGAAGCUUGGCCUGCUAUCUGUGUUAUCACGUUCUACAGCAGGAUACCACGCGCUCAUGCACUGUAAAGCUGCCUCGCGUACCAU
rnacentral:misc_RNA from 1 species